rnacentral:rRNA from 1 species
AGAACGAACGCUGGCGGCAUGCCUAAUACAUGCAAGUCGAACGAACUCUUCGGAGUUAGUGGCGCACGGGUGCGUAACGCGUGGGAAUCUGCCCUUGGGUUCGGAAUAACAGUUGGAAACGACUGCUAAUACCGGAUGAUGACGAAAGUCCAAAGAUUUAUCGCCCAGGGAUGAGCCCGCGUAGGAUUAGCUAGUUGGUGAGGUAAAGGCUCACCAAGGCGACGAUCCUUAGCUGGUCUGAGAGGAUGAUCAGCCACACUGGGACUGAGACACGGCCCAGACUCCUACGGGAGCAGCAGGUAGGGAAUA